rnacentral:rRNA from 1 species
AUUGAACGCUGGCGGCAGGCCUAACACAUGCAAGUCGAGCGGCAGCGGGAAAGUAGCUUGCUACUUUUGCCGGCGAGCGGCGGACGGGUGAGUAAUGCCUGGGGAUCUGCCCAGUCGAGGGGGAUAACUACUGGAAACGGUAGCUAAUACCGCAUACGCCCUACGGGGGAAAGCAGGGGACCUUCGGGCCUUGCGCGAUUGGAUGAACCCAGGUGGGAUUAGCUAGUUGGUGAGGUAAUGGCUCACCAAGGCGACGAUCCCUAGCUGGUCUGGGGGGGUGAUCAGCCACACUGGAACUGAGACACGGCCCAGGCUCCUACUGGAGGCAGCAGUGGGGAAUAUUGCACAAUGGGGGAAACCCUGAUGCAGCCAUGCCGCGUGUGUGAAGAAGGCCUUCGGGUUGUAAAGCACUUUCAGCGAGGAGGAAAGGUUGGCAGCUAAUAACUGCCAGCUGUGACGUUACUCGCAGAAGAAGCACCGGCUAACUCCGUGCCAGCCGCCGCAGUAAGAC